AAAGUUCAAUUGCAUUCUAUUGGUAUCACGUGAUGAAAAAUGGCAGCUUUCUGAUGAUUGUAUCACAAAACUAGCUACUACUGCAGAAACUAGAGAGAUCUAUGACGACCCUUGACGACAUGAAUAUAAGAAGGAGAAAGAGACAGUGCAUCUUAACUUUGAUUCCCUUUUUUAUUUCAUCAGAUAAAUCAAUCUUCGCUAGUUUAA